rnacentral:rRNA from 1 species
GUCGAGCACUCCUACGGGAGGCAGCAGUGGGGAAUAUUGCACAAUGGGCGCAAGCCUGAUGCAGCCAUGCCGCGUGUAUGAAGAAGGCCUUCGGGUUGUAAAGUACUUUCAGCAGUGAGGAAGGUGGGUAUGUUAAUAGCAUAUUCAUUUGACGUUAGCUGCAGAAGAAGCACCGGCUAACUCCGUGCCAGCAGCCGCGGUAAUACGGAGGGUGCGAGCGUUAAUCGGAAUUACUGGGCGUAAAGCGCAUGCAGGUGGUUUGUUAAGUCAGAUGUGAAAGCCCGGGGCUCAACCUCGGAAUUGCAUUUGAAACUGGCAAACUAGAGUACUGUAGAGGGGGUAGAAUUUCAGGUGUAGCGGUGAAAUGCGUAGAGAUCUGAAGGAAUACCGGUGGCGAAGGCGGCCCCCUGGACAGAUACUGACACUCAGAUGCGAAAGCGUGGGGAGCAAACAGGAUUAGAUACCCUGGUAG